AAUGAAUUAAUGAUGUUCAGAAAAUAUAGACAUAUGCAAAGAGUAAUUACUGGUGAGGGAAUUAAUCAACCAACAUAACCAAUAAUCUAUACUUAACGUAAGAGAAAGAAGAAACAGAUUACAUACCGUAGUAUUGAAUCUGAAGUUGAUUCGAUAUUGCAUCUUUGAAAGAGAAAAAGCGAUUGUCUGGCUUCUACAAAGAGGAAUACAUGUUAUUGUCCAAUGGACUCAACUCUAAGGAUGAUAUAAAUGGUGUUCCAAAUAUUUUUACCAAACAAACCACCAUCGAUUUUUUUAGGCAAAAGCCAUUAUUUCUACUGUAUGGUAUCAGACCCAUUAAGGUCAACUGAGAUCGACAUCCAGAUAGAAAUCAAACUGAAGAAUUCUAUUCAAUGUAUCAUAAUUAGCAUAUAGGAAUAAUACUCUAAUUAAGUACUUUUUUUUAUCUAUUUGGACAUAUAGUCUGUAGCAAUUUCUGGAUCCUUCAGGAAAGCUUCUUAAAUGAUAUCCCUGUUUAUUCGAUGCAAUUUUUUUUACCAUGCCAUGACUAGGAAUCUUUUUGUUUCAUACCACUUUCGACAAAGCUUGAAUCAGAUAUGUAGGUUAAAUCCGUUGCAUUAUCAACAUAAUCAUUUUCUUGACCACAGUUAAUGCUUAUGAAUUCUGAAUAUAUAUAAAAACGAGCAAAAUUUCGAGAUAAAAGGCAUUAAUAUUUAAAGAAACAGAAUUGAAAGAAUUGAACUAUGUAGAGAGUUUAGCGAUUAAGGAUUGACAUGUAUAUGUAGUUUUAAACUCACAGAUAUUCAUUAUCAUAAACAAAAAGAAAAAUUUCAAAUUACUUAUGUUUGUGAUUACUCCGAUUAGCAUUUCAACGGCCAAAACCUUGGUAGGAUUCAUUUGCAAUAACCCAAAAUCUCUAAAAUUUAAUAUGAAAUUGAGAAAAGGUUCGAUACCAUCAAGCUGACCAUGGACCUUAAUGAUGAGAUGAAUGCCAGAAAAUCCGUCAGAUGUAGAACAGAAGACAAUCUAUUCCUGCCAUUUUCAUUUUUAAAUCCUCAGCAUCUGAAUUUGCAAUAAUACAUCAGCUAAUAGAGAGAAGAAGAAAUGAGAGCUGUGCAAAUGAAAUUAGUAAGAUGGGGUUUAUUUACAACUGUGCUGGUAUGUUUCCAAGGGAGAGUGAUGUGGAAGGUCAACCCCUUUCAUCCUCAAGAGUUAUUGUCUGCACAUCUAUAUAUUCAUCAGCUAAUAUUACAAUUUUAUGGUGCUCUCGAUCUUGUCAUUUUUUAUCAGACAACCAAGAAUGGAAUUGCAAACAGCUGCAUUAUUAUUGAUUGAUUUAUUAGUUAAACUGGUAUACACUUGCAGAGCUUUCAAAUGAUUUCAACUAAUGUGUGGCUAAAAUGCCUAAAAAACGACUCCCUGAUAUCGAAAAAAACAAAAUGCUAUCAUUGAAUAUGAAAUAACCUGAGAAACCUCUGACCAUCUUCCCAAAUUCCCAAAAUGUCGCAAGAUAAUAUUCAAGUCUUGCACGAGCAAUACGUUCUCAAACCUGUAACGAGCAUAAAGCUUUGUAAAUCUCGGCAAUGUAUUGAACAUUUGAACCAAAUUUAGCAUAUGAAUAUACGAUCGAUCAACACACUGAAAAUGAGGCAGAUUUUGGAAUUACGAAGAGAGGGUUACCUGGAGAGAGUCGCAAGCAAGUCGGCGAAGUUCUUGAGUGCAGAUACAGCGGAUUGUCGUGGAGUGGGGCGGAAAUCAGAAGAUACAAUGACUGCGGAGGUGGAGGAAGUGGAAGCGGAAGAAGAGAGAUAGGAUUUGUGUAGGGUUUUGGAGAAAGAAGAGGAGGGAGAUGGAUUGCAAUUCCUGGUGGUGAUGUUGGUUAGGAGAAAAUGCGAUCGGAAUCUGGAGGAGACGGAUGGAGGUAGUGGAUAUGCGACACCGUCUGCAUCUCUUUUCCGGAUGCAGAAUUGCAGAUGCGGAAGAAAGAAAAAGAAAUCUAAACCGUUUCCAUGUUAUAUUAUAUCUAUUUUGAGAUUGAGCUGAUUGGGUGUGUUUAUCUUAUAUUUAAUGGUUAUCAUGUGUAUUGAAUAACUACAAAAAUAGAAGUAUAAAUCUCGAAAAAAAAUGAUCUGGACACUCUGAGUGCACCCAAUAUGGACGCACCAAAAGGAUCUAGAUGGACCUUCUUAUUUCAUUCUUCAACUCCAAGGGCAAGGAUAUGGAUGGGUCUCUUAUGUAAUUGUGAAGGAUACCAUGAAUGCGUUGAUUAAUGGCAAACUUGAUAAGGAUGAUAUUAUCGUGAUCUAGUUCCUUGUACAUCAGGCUAGUGGAAGUUUGUCAUGCCUUAGUAGUUCAUCUAUAUAUCUUGACGUAGACCAAAGAAAUAAAAAAGAUAUGAUGAGCCUUGAAUAUAACUCAUAAACUUCUCUCUAGCUAUUUACUCUCUUGGUAUUACAAGUGGCAAAAACUAAAUCCUUCUCAUGUGUCCCCUAGAGAGGAAAAUAUAGUGGUGUCUGAUUAGGCUAGCCAGGCUUGCCGGACCAAGCCUUUUUCCUCUCAGGCCUAUGGACCAGGGUGGACUGGAUCAGGUAUACUUCUGGAAAGAUAGUGCCUCUCUCUUCUUUUUAUAACGUCCAUCUGAUCUAAUCGAUCUCUUUGAUAAUUAUUCAAUUUGACUUUUAGGACAAAUUAAUUUCUAAAUGUAAAUAUUCAAUAUUUUUUGUUUCAAAGUUGACAUUCUUAAUUAGAUGCUUAUAAUAAAUUUAAAGAAAAUGAUGUUUAAAUUAAAGUCAAAUGAACUAAUUAAUUAUUCUUAAAUGCUUUAAAAAAACUAAUUAUUUGUAAUAGGUUUAUUAAAUUUUUCAAAAUACUAUUAGAUAUUUUUGUUAUAUAAUAAUUUAAAACCUACGAAAUUUCAUCAAAAAUAGUUCAUAUAUGUUUUUAUGUAGUGUGGAAAAGAUGACAACGACAAUUAAAAAAUAAAAAAUAAUCAUUCAAGUGGAAUAAAAUUGACUAAGCUAUUUUGCAUGGUAAUAGAAUAAUGGGGUAUUUAUUUUCUGAAAGUAAAAAUAAUGUAAUCCACAUAUAACUGAUAUAGGAGAAUUAGUGUAUUAUUUAUUGUAUCUGAUAUUAAUUUUGAUUUUGAUUUUGAUUUUGAUUUUAAAAUGAUUAAUGGCAUCUAAGACUGAUGCCAUUUUUCUAUCUAUAUAUCCUAUAUACAAUUCAUAUCAUUUUAUAUACAAAGAGAUAUCGAAAGCAGAGAAUGGUGAGAAAAGCAUCCAUGAAAGAACAGAAGAUAGGUGCAUCUGAAGUGCCAAUAUUGUUGGUUUCCUUGGGAUUGUUGAUCUUCUCUUUAUCAGUUAAUGGACAAAAUAUGGAUGGUAAUUAUAUGUUCUUCGACUAUAUAUAUAUGUUUAUCGUGUUAAUUAACUCUGAAUCAUGCAUUCAAUUGUAGAUGGAUUCAUAAGCAUCGAUUGUGGACAAGAAAAGAACUACACAGACACCGCAACAGGUUUGCGCUAUGUUUCUGAUUUUGAUGGGUUUGUAGAUACUGGUGAGACUCACAAGAUCCCCACUGAUAUGGAACAAUAUGCAACGAACCAACAAGGAUAUCAUUUGAGAAGUUUUCCGAAUGGAAUCAGGAACUGCUACAGAUUACUAGUUGAUGAAAAUAAAAAGUAUUUGAUAAGAGCAUCAUUCAUGUAUGGCAAUUAUGAUCAGAGAAACAAUCCUCCACAGUUUGAUCUCUAUCUGAAUGUCGAUCUAUGGAGCUCGGUUGAUCUUAGAGGACGAUCCAAAACUCAUGUAUUCUUAGAAAUUUCGGUUUUUGCUUCGAGAAAUUGGAUGUUUGUUUGUGUGGUAAAUACAGGAUUGGGGACACCAUUUGUAUCCUCUUUGGAGUUGAGGCCUUUAAAAGAUGAUAUGUAUCCUUUAGUGACGAAUAAUCAAUCAUUCGUCCUCUUUCAACGAAGCAAUGUUCAACCAAUUAGAAAUGAAACAUUAAGGUAAAUCUUUUUUUUCUAUCUUUAUAUGUCGAUCGUUUACAUAUAUAUUUUAUGUGUUGUAUUUUCAGGUAUCCGACUGAUAUCUAUGAUCGCUUUUGGAUUCCAUAUUACUCCAAGUCUUUGGAAACGUUAUCUACCGAAUCAAAGAUUGUGCAAUGUACAGCUUGUUUAAAAUACCCAGCUCCAAUGGAUGUGUUGAAAACAUGUGGAGCGCCCAUUGCAAAUGGUUCAGAUAUAAAUAUCACAUUCCAGUGGCCACUCAAUAAUAUCACGUCUCGGAAAAUAGUCUAUGCAUUCCACUAUGCAGAAAUCCAAUCCCUCACAACAAAUCAAUCAAGGAAUUUUUCUUUUUUUAAGAGCUUUCAGGAUCGGUCAUCCGGGCCAUUCAAGUUUCCAAAGUAUUUAACAGCAACUUAUUUGCACAAGCCAACACCAGUGCAGGUAUCGAUAGAUUUUUUCUACAUGACUUUUCGCAAAACAAAAAAUUCUACACUUCCUCCACUCUUAAGUGCCAUGGAAAUAUAUGAAGUCAAACAAACAUCAAAGUUAAUUUCUACUGGGAAAGAAGGUAUAUAUGUCAAAUAUAGUAUGUACAUGUAAUUCAUUAAUCAAUCAAUCAAUUCAUUUAUUGUAUAUGUAUAUACAGUUGAAGCCAUGAUGGAAAUAAAAAAAUCAUACAAAUUGGAGAAGAAUUGGCAAGGGGAUCCAUGUGCUCCAGAGAACUUAAUUUGGAAAGGGAUCAAAUGUAGAAAAUUUUCAAUCGUUUCUUUGUAAGUCGGUUUUAUUUGAUGCAAAAGAAAACAAUAUUACAUAAUUACAUAUAUCAUGUUAGAAUCAUGUUAAUAUGUGCAUGAUAAGAUAAUAUGAGAUAUCUGAUCUUUUUUAUCUAAAGAUUUAUGAUAUUAUUGAGAUUGAGAUUAACUGUUGUGAUUAAAUUAUCUCAUAUAAUCUCAUCACUCAUUAUUGUAACUUGCUCUUUUCUUUUAAUUAAUGUAUGUAUAUAUUGAAUAAUACUUAAUUAUAGGAACAUGUCAUCAAAUGGGCUGAGUGGGAAAAUAGCACUUUCAAUUAGAGAUCUCAAACAACUUGAAAACUUGUAAGCUGGUUUUCUAUUUAAUUUUUAGAUCCAAAUAUGAAUGAGAAGAAAUAUAAUAAAAUAUAAAUAAUUUAUUUACUAUUAUUUUGUUGACAUAAAUGCAGAGACUUAUCAAACAAUAAAUUGAAUGGAAAAAUCCCACACUUCCUCUCAGACUUAGAAAGUCUUAAAUUUUUGUAAGUGUAUAUUUUUUUAAAAAUAAUUAUAACUACUAUCAAUUAUUCUUUUAACUAACUAGUUAUAAUAUAUUUAUCAAUAGGGAUGUGUCUAGAAAUAAUCUUAAUGGGGAUAUACCAGAAGGCUUGAAAAUAAAAAUUGAAGAUGGAUUCCUCAACAUAAGGUAUGAAUAAAAUUAAAAAACAAAACCUGUGUAAUCUUGUUUCAAUUCCACCCAUAUAUUUUGGAUGUGAACAUAUAUAUGAAAAUUGAUUGUUGGAUCCCCCUCCAUCUUAUGUAAGAUUUGAAGGAAAUCCUAAUCUUUACAAAAAGUCAAACAAAAUUGUCAUCAUUAUUCCUAUUGUGGUAAUUACUUUGGUAAUUAUCGCGAUAACAGUCAUCGUGGUUGUUAUUUGGAAAAGGAAAAGAAAACUCUAUGGUAAGCUAAUUAAACACUAUCUAGUUCAUUUUUGCAAAUUUUAAGAAUUAUGUUUACUAACUUAUAUAUUAAAUUCUUUAAUUAAGGUCGAAAAAGAAUUAUUGAAAGUAAAGGAAGAGGAUCUUUCCGUCUUCCAUCUUUUAGUUCCAAUAACAAGAUAUUGACAUACAUCGAUUUGAUCAACAUAACCAACGAUUUCGAUAAAAUAAUUGGACAAGGAGGAUUUGGUACUGUGUAUCAUGGAACAAUGAACAAUGGAAUUCAAGUGGCGGUCAAACAUCUCUCUGUUGCUUCAUCUCAAGGAUCAAAAGAAUUUCAAAUGGAGGUAGGCCUCAUUUAUACAUCCAUUAUUAUUUUAAAAAACGUUUCAAGAUAUCUUAUAAGAUAUUAAUCUAGACAGUUCAUUUAUUUUAAAUGAAAUGAACCAUAUCUUGAGAUCGUACUUCAGUUUAAUGACUAUAUAUGUAUAUGCAGGCACAUCUCCUUACAACGAUUCAUCACAAGAACAUAGUACCUUUAGUUGGGUAUUGUAAUGAGAAAGAUCAUCUAGCAUUGGUAUAUGAAUAUAUGGUAGGCGGAAAUCUAAAAGAUCAUCUUUCAGGUUUGUUAAUAUAAUCCAAGCUCUCCAUCGCAUGAACGCCUAGGUCGCCUAGGCGUCGUCUUAAACACGAUGGAAAUUUUGUAUAAUUUCCCCUGUAUUUUUCUAAUAUUACUAUAAAUACCUGUAUUUUUAGAAAUAUUAAUAAAAUAUAUAUAGAAUCAUUAGAAUGAAAUAAAAGUCUUAAGGAAAAUAAAAUAUUACUAACGAAGUCUUAUGAGCCAUAGGGCUGCCUGAAAAAGAGGGAGAAGAAAAAAAUAAGUGGCUAGAAAUAAGAGGAAAAUAAGGGAAUAGGGUUUUAAAACCCUAACUCUUCUUUUUAUAAGAUUUAAAUAGGUAUUUGGGUUAGACAGAUCCAACCGUAUCCGCCUAACCCGCCUAGUACGUGAAGGCAGAUCGCCUACAGGUGUUGGAUCGUAUGAUCGCCUAGACGAUCGCAUAUAAAAGCUUGAUACCAUCAAACCAAAAUAUAUUUUUUUUGCACAUACUGAAAUUACAUUAUUCUUGUUGCAUGAAGGAUCAAUUAGCUCUUUGACGAAAAUAUGUUGGAGAGAUCGACUUAGGAUAGCAUUAGAAGUUGCAGAAGGUACGUAAAACAAAAAACACACAAAAUUAUGUAAAUCGAACUGGUUCUUAUUUAAUUUAGUUUUAAUUUUAGAUUCAAAUUUAUUUGCUGUAUAUAAUAGGAUUGGAUUAUCUACAUAGAGGAUGCAAAACAACAAUAAUCCACAGAGAUAUAAAGACAAGCAACAUAUUAUUAUCGGAGAAAUUAGAAGCUAUGAUAGCGGAUUUUGGAUUGUGUAAAAUCUUCGAAAAUAAUGAUGCAAUGACGCAUAUGUCAACUAAUGUGUUGGGUACUCCUGGUUAUCUCGACCCUGAGUAAGUCUUUAUAUAUCUAACUAUCAAUUAAGUAGACUCAAAAGAUCCAUGUAUGCAUCUAAUUUCAAUUCAUAAUUUUCUUGAUUUUACUGUCAAAGUAGUAUAUAGAUAUAUAUACUACUUUAAUUCCAUUUGCAAUUGUAAUCACAAACUAAUUUCAACCAUCUAUUCAUUCUAAUGUGUAGAUAUCGAAAAACACACAAGUUAAAAGAGAAAAGUGAUGUUUACAGCUUUGGAAUCGUUCUUCUAGAAUUAAUAACAGGUAAACCUGCCGUAAUAAAGAAUGCAGACGAAGAUUAUAUUUUAUUGGCAGAAUGGGUGGAUUCAAUCCAUGCACAAGGGGAUAUACUUGCAAUUGUUGAUCCAAAGUUAAAUGGAGAAUAUGAUAUCAACUCUGCUGGAAAAGCUCUUGAGAUAGCCUCAGCAUGCACUCCUUCCUUAUCCAUUCAAAGAUCAUCGAUGCAUGAUAUCGUGACACUUUUAAAGGAGUGCUUAGAGAUUGAAAUAACAUGUGGAACUUGCAAAUAUAUAAGCUCGGAUUUUAUGGCUAAUUAUGAAGAUGAAAUGAUUACAGGUCCUACAAUAAGGUAGGGAUUGAAAUUCCCAAAGACUCUGCGUGCAGACAUCUAUGCAUACAUAUGGAGUUUGUCUAUUCCAAUAUAUGUGUGAUUAGCAUCUUCUAUCAAUUAUCACCUAAUUAAGUGAUAGUGAAUACGUAAGAAUAUGACGAUAAAAAUGUUAAUUGUAGUAAUUUGAGAGGUUAUAUAGUAUUUUUUCCAUUUCAUCUUUGUAAAUGUCAUUGUAAUAAACAAAAGAAAUAAAAUAGAAAUUUUAUUAUAUGAUAUAGAAUCAAAAACAAUCAACAGAUGACAAAUCUAUCUUUCGGAUACCUAGAUAUGACAAUGAAUUGAUGAUGUUCAGAAAAUAUAGCAAUUUCUGGAUCCUUCAGGAAAGCUUCUUAAAUGAUAUCCCUGUUUAUUCGAUGCAAUUUUUUUUACCAUGCCAUGAUUAGGAAUCUUUUUGUUUCAUACCACUUUCGACAAAGCUUGAAUCAGAUAUGUAGGUUAAACCCGUUGCAUUAUCAACAUAAUCAUUUUCUUGACCACAGUUAAUGCUUAUGAAUUCUGAAUAUAUAUAAAAACGAGCAAAAUUUCGAGAUAAAAGGCAUUAAUAUUUAAAGAAACAGAAUUGAAAGAAUUGAAAGAAUUGAACUAUGUAGAGAGUUUAGCGAUUAAGGAUUGACAUGUAUAUGUAGUUUUAAACUCACAGAUAUUCAUUAUCAUAAACAAAAAGAAAAAUUUCAAAUUACUUAUGUUUGUGAUUACUCCGAUUAGCAUUUCAACGGCCAAAACCUUGGUAGGAUUCAUUUGCAAUAACCCAAAAUCUCUAAAAUUUAAUAUGAAAUUGAGAAAAGGUUCGAUACCAUCAAGCUGACCAUGGACCUUAAUGAUGAGAUGAAUGCCAGAAAAUCCGUCAGAUGUAGAACAGAAGACAAUCUAUUCCUGCCAUUUUCAUUUUUAAAUUCUCAGCAUCUGAAUUUGCAAUACAUCAACUAAUAUAGAGAAGAAGAAAUGAGAGCUGUGCAAAUGAAAUUAGUAAGAUGGGGUAUAACCCCUUUCAUCCUCAAGAGUUAUUGUCUGCACAUCUAUAUAUUCAUCAGCUGAUAUUACAAUGAUAUACAGAUAUUAGUGAUAUAGACAUCAUGCACUAUUGUUAUGAAUAUCUCUAAUCAUUGUUGGGUUUAGGGAAGCAACAUUUAUCUUGACUCUUGAGUUAUGAAAAUGGUGAGCACCAAUGUGGGGUUUUCUCCUAAUUGAAGAAUCUUCGACUCUCCUGAAUCCUGAUCCUGGGUAGUUCAUCACUUCAUCCAAUCAUCUCAAUCGAGUUAUCCUGAUGAUCCAAGUUAAUAAAGUUAUCACCAUCAAAAAUGAUAAGAGAUUUAGGUGGGUUUAGGGUUAUUUGUAUUUCCAUUGUUGUUGUAACUUCUAUCUCAUACCCCUCAUUGCCUCACCAAUUCACCAUACAUAAAAAAAAAUCGGAUCUUUUAAAAUUUAGAUUAGUAAAUAGUAAUCAGGUUGAAAUACCAGUUACCACUAUUGACGGAGCUGGAUCCUGCUAUUCUGCAUCACAACAUGCCUUUCUCAGCGCCGGAGUUGAGCACUGCAAGGCUCUCUAAAUCGAAAAUCCACCAUCUGCAAUACGAUCUUUCUUCUGUUACCGUUUUGUGUAAACUGAAAUCUCCAGAUGUGUUUCAACGAGGGAGAAGGGGGGGGGUAUCUAGUUUUCGUUCCAUUAAUCAUGGAUUACGAUCAAUUUCAUCUCGAUUCAAACGGAUUUUUCAGCUUCGAAGCUCCGAUGUGAUUGCUUCCUUAAUUUCUCCAACUCCUGGUGUGAUUCACCGUUGCGCCGGAGCAAAUGAACAGUAGUGGGGAGGUUCUGAUCAUUUCGGUAGAGGUCUCAGUGGCAUUAUAAUCGGAUUUCUAAUCGGAUCCGGAGUUAAGCUAAUCUGAAAGGUAACUUUUUUUAUG
rnacentral:lncRNA from 1 species